UUACUACACGCAGAAGAGCAGAAGCCAUGCACCAGGGGAAACAGCCGGUGCAAAGGCCCUGUGGUUAGAGUAUGGAAGGUACUGGAGGGACUAUUGUGCAGUCGUGCCUGUUCAGCGUCUGGCAUAUGGCAGAUGUUCCGUUCAUGGCAGCCAGUAUUGAAGGUCGCGCGAUCCGGUCCCUGCACUCUGCACGCGCAGGAAAGGGUGAUAGAGUCAGCGAGUCUAUCCUGUUAAGUCUUCAGUGCCCC